rnacentral:hammerhead_ribozyme from 1 species
ACCCGGCUGAAGAGCCCUAAAUAGGACGAAACGAGCGUCCUCGAU